CUCUGAUUCUUUUCUUCUUGUCCUGAGACUCCUGCAGGCACACAUUGGUCUGUUUGACAAUGUCCCAUGGGUUCUUUACUCUCUAGUGCCACCCCAUUUGAAGUUAAGAUCUUGUCUCCCUGUCUGUCCUUAAACUUGGAUGCUCCUAAGGUCAAAGAAUCUCAGAUACUAAAGCACAGUGGAACAUAUGUUGGCCUAUUGGAGUGUAGAUAUCACACUGUAUGUGUUGGACUAAUGGAGUGCAGGUAUCACACUGUAUGUGUUGGACUAAUGGACUGCAGAUAUCACACUGUAUGUGUUGGUCUAAUGGAGUGCAGAUAUCACACUGUAUGUGUUGGCCUAUUGGAGUGCAGAUAUCACACUGUAUGUGUUGGACUAAUGGAGUGCAGGUAUCACUUUGCAACAGACUUCACUAACGUAAUAGAUUUUGCUCUUUGACCUGAACAUUACAAAUAAUGUAUAAACUUUGUAACUAUUUUUCUCAUUGGUUACUCAAUAAAUAAAAAACGACUUAAGUAAUAUUGUUCUUUACUUUUUAUUACAGCUUAUCACAGCCACCUUAGAUGGGAAACUUCAGCUAUUUGUGGCUGAGUGACAGCUGACCUGCUGGUAAGAAUACAAGAAGAAAGGAGAGAAAGAAUCCAUGGCUUAGCUAUUUGAAGUGGACGGGCAGUUUCCAUAGGAGACCCUUGCUGGAUUCCUCUUCUGUAGGACUGACCCCCAUGUGAGAGUCCCUCCUCUUAAGAAAACCUUCAUGGGAAUCCUGGAAAUGAUGUUCUUCAAUAAAGAUGAGCCAGUGCCUCUUU
rnacentral:lncRNA from 1 species